UAUUUAUUUUUAAAAUUACUAAAAUAAUCCAACUAACUUAUAAGUAUAGGGCGCAUAAACAUUAAAAUGAAAAGUUGGUCUUACCAAAAUAUUAUUUUUGUUUAGAGCUUAUAAACUCAAACAAAUGUUAUAAACAAACAGUUAAACUUAUGUUUAGGACUUAUAAGUUGGUCACUAGCUUAGAAGCCAAAACAAAUAAUUUAGAGAAAAUAACAUGCAAGAUGAAACCACAUUUCCACUAGGCUAAUAGACAAUAAUUCAGUGAUUGAGGUCGUAAUGAAACUCAAUGAUAGAGUCUUUAUGUCGCAGUAUGGAGCAUGAAUUUAAAUCCCACCACCAAGGCCAAGCACACAAAUAUGCAAUUAUUUGCUCGAGUAGUCUCAUAUUGCGUAUGAUCAAGAGUUUCAUUCAAAUGCUAUGAACAUUCAUAUUCUUAUUUUAUAAUGACAAUACAGAUAAUGUCAUAAGGCAAGCCACAUUAUUUAUAAUUUUUCACAUCAAAAUAGUAAAAAACUCGCUUAAAAAAAAUAUUCAAAUAUACUAUAAUUCUAUAAAGAUAAGGAUGAACAGACCAACUUACCAUGGGCAAUAAGUCUAACACUCUCAUCCAAAUCCUCUUUGGACCCAAAAACCCGAGACACCAGACCCAACUCCUUGGCCUGUUGACCCGAGAAUCUCCGACCCGUUAAAGCCAAUUCCAUAGCGUUACCAUACCCGACAAUACUGGGCAGUCUCUGGAGCGUCCCGAGAUCUGCCGUUAUCCCCAAAUCCACCUCUUUAACAGAAAAAAAUGAAUCUUGUGAACAAAACCUAAUAUCACAGGCAGUCACAAUAUCAACACCCCCACCAAUACACGCUCCGUGGAUGCUAGCUAUAACUGGUUUCCUACACCGUUCGAUCGCAGUUAUCGCAUCCUGUAAGAACUUGAUCUCUCGUCGGAGUUUCUCAUUAGCACGGCCUCUGUCGCCGGAUGAAGAAUAGUCGGUGAUUAUGUUUAGUGUUUUGAGGUCGAUGCCGGAGCAGAAGUGAUCGCCGGCGCCACAGAGGACGAUGACGCUGGCUUCGGGGUUCUGAUCGAGAGAAGAGAGGGCGUUGGGGAAUUCGGUGAAGAAGUCACGGGAGAGGGCGUUGCGAUGAGAUGGACGAUUAAGGUAUAAAUGGAAGACUCGUGAAUUUGGGGUUUUUUGUACGAUCUGUAGGGUUUUGUAUUGCUCCAUUGAGGGUUUUGGGAGUGAGAAAGUAGGCAAGAAAAUGAGAAAAACUGAAGGAAAAUCGAAGAUGAUAAACUAACAAACGUGAUUUUUC
rnacentral:misc_RNA from 1 species